rnacentral:rRNA from 1 species
CCUACGGGAGGCUGCAGUGAGGAAUAUUGGUCAAUGGACGAGAGUCUGAACCAGCCAAGUAGCGUGAAGGAUGACUGCCCUAUGGGUUGUAAACUUCUUUUAUAUGGGAAUAAAACGUUCCACGUGUGGGAUUUUGUAUGUACCAUAUGAAUAAGGAUCGGCUAACUCCGUGCCAGCAGCCGCGGUAAUACGGAGGAUCCGAGCGUUAUCCGGAUUUAUUGGGUUUAAAGGGAGCGUAGGUCGGUUGUUAAGUCAGUUGUGAAAGUUUGCGGCUCAACCGUAAAAUUGCAGUUGAAACUGGCAGUCUUGAGUACAGUAGAGGUGGGCGGAAUUCGUGGUGUAGCGGUGAAAUGCUUAGAUAUCACGAAGAACUCCGAUUGCGAAGGCAGUUCACUGGACUGCAACUGACACUGAGGCCCGAAAGUGUGGGUAUCAAACAGGAUUAGAUACCCGAGUAGUC